GAUGAACGCUAGCUACAGGCUUAACACAUGCAAGUCGAGGGGAAACGAUAGAGAAAGCUUGCUUUUUCUAGGCGUCGACCGGCGCACGGGUGAGUAACGCGUAUCCAACCUGCCCAUCACUUGGGGAUAACCUUGCGAAAGUAAGACUAAUACCCAAUGAUAUCUCUAGAAGACAUCUGAAGGAGAUUAAAGAUUUAUCGGUGAUGGCUGGGGAUGCGUCGGAUUAGCUUGUUGGCGGGGUAUCGGCCCACCAAGGCGACGAUCAGUAGGGGGUCUGAGAGGAAGGUCCCCCACAUUGGAACUGAGACACGGUCCAAACUCCUACGGGAGGCAGCAGUGAGGAAUAUUGGUCAAUGGGCGAGAGCCUGAACCAGCCAAGUAGCGUGCAGGAUGACGGCCCUAUGGGUUGUAAACUGCUUUUAUAAGGGAAUAAAGUGAGUCUCGUGAGGCUUUUUGCAUGUACCUUAUGAAUAAGGACCGGCUAAUUCCGUGCCAGCAGCCGCCGCGG
rnacentral:rRNA from 1 species